GAAAAACAAAAAGGGGCUCCGAAAGUACAUGUUGUUGCUGUGACUGAAUCGAUGAUUGAGAGGGUCGUCUCGACGAAAGAUAGAGAAAUUUGGCCAUAGUUUAGAUUAGGAAUACGUCAAUGUAAUAAUAAUGGACUAAAUGUUUCGUCCGUGCAGAAUGGCACUUUUUACCUCACGAAAUUCACCACCAUGCAUAGCUGCGCUACGUAAACAAAGUUGUUGAUGUAGCGUGAUCGUGAUGUCCGAGUGCUGCGAGUUUCAAUACUGUUUAUGUAGUCAUUGAGAGUUUAAACAAAGUUUCUUCUGAGAAGAGGAAUUCGAUGGAUGCAUUCAACGUGGACAACGAAAUCAUAACUUCGUUUGGACCCGGGGAUGGGAGGAUAUGUACAGUUUAAAUAGAAGCAUCAUCCUAAGGACCCGUGCAAGUUGAAAUGGGCUUCCAGCCAACAACUUCAACAGCAAUUUGCCAUGAAAAUCAGCAAGAAAGGUACUUCAUUUACAUAGAUGAUGUCAUAUCCCCUGGACCCCACAACUUUACAGGUUACAGAGAAAAUUCAAGAACUUCUGCAAAAUGUGGGACUUGGAUAGAAUCAAUAAUGUAUUUGUGAGCCCAGAGCAAUGGAUAUAUUGUGCAACAUACUAAAGUGUGAAUUUAAUGGAAAACAAGUACAUGUACUCAUGUAUUACAUGUCUUUUUUAAAGACAAUAAUAUUGUAUAAAUAUAGAGGAAGUGUCAUUGUUGAUUAUUCUAAGUUUUUGAUAUAUCAAAAUCAGUAAACAUUUCUAAAUGAAAAUAAAAUACCAAUUUUAUAACUUUAAUCAAUGUGUUUGAAUUUCUCAU